AACGAACGCUGGCGGCAUGCCUAACACAUGCAAGUCGAACGAGACCUUCGGGUCUAGUGGCGCACGGGUGCGUAACGCGUGGGAACCUGCCCUUAGGCUCGGAAUAACUCCCCGAAAGGGGUGCUAAUACCGGAUAAUGUCUUCGGACCAAAGAUUUAUCGCCUUUGGAUGGGCCCGCGUUGGAUUAGCUAGUUGGUAGGGUAAAAGCCUACCAAGGCGACGAUCCAUAGCUGGUCUGCGAGGAUGAUCAGCCACACUGGGACUGAGACACGGCCCAGACUCCUACGGGAGGCAGCAGUGGGGAAUAUUGGACAAUGGGCGAAAGCCUGAUCCAGCAAUGCCGCGUGAGUGAUGAAGGCCUUAGGGUUGUAAAGCUCUUUUACCCGGGAUGAUAAUGACAGUACCGGGAGAAUAAGCGCCGGCUAACUCCGUG
rnacentral:rRNA from 1 species